UGGGGAAUAUUGCACAAUGGGCGAAAGCCUGAUGCAGCAACGCCGCGUGAAGGAAGAAGGCCUUCGGGUCGUAAACUUCUGUCCUAGGGGAAGAAGAACUGACGGUACCCAAGGAGGAAGCCCCGGCUAACUACGUGCCAGCAGCCGCGGUAAUACGUAGGGGGCAAGCGUUAUCCGGAAUUAUUGGGCGUAAAGAGUGCGUAGGUGGCACCUUAAGCGCAGGGUUUAAGGCAAUGGCUCAACCAUUGUUCGCCCUGCGAACUGGGGGGCUUGAGUGCAGGAGAGGAAAGCGGAAUUCCUAGUGUAGCGGUGAAAUGCGUAGAUAUUAGGAGGAACACCAGUGGCGAAGGCGGCUUUCUGGACUGUAACUGACACUGAGGCACGAAAGCGUGGGGAGCAA
rnacentral:rRNA from 1 species